GCUCAGAACGAACGCUGGCGGCGUGCCUAACACAUGCAAGUCGAACGAGAAGUACGUAGCAAUACGUAUUGUAAAGUGGCGCACGGGUGAGUAACACGUGGGUAAUCUGCCCUUGAGUUUGGGAUAACCCCGCGAAAGCGGGGCUAAUACCGGAUAAGACCACGGGGACCAAAGUCCCUGAGGUAAAAGGUGGCCUCUAUUUAUAAGCUACCACUUGAGGAUGAGCCCGCGGCCCAUUAGCUAGUUGGCAGGGUAACGGCCUACCAAGGCAAUGAUGGGUAGCUGGUCUGAGAGGACGAUCAGCCACACUGGAACUGAGACACGGUCCAGACUCCUACGGGAGGCAGCAGUGGGGAAUAUUGCGCAAUGGGCGAAAGCCUGACGCAGCAACGCCGCGUGGGGGAUGAAGGUUCUCGGAUUGUAAACCCCUUUCGAUCGGAACGAAUCCCCUCCUGGUAAAUAAUCAGGAGGAUCGACGGUACCGAGAGAAGAAGCCACGGCUAACUCUGUGCCAGCAGCCGCGGUAAGACAGAGGUGGCGAGCGUUGUUCGGAUUUAUUGGGCGUAAAGCGAACGCAGGUGGUUUGGUAAGUCAGGGGUGAAAGCCCACAGCUUAACUGUGGCAUUGCCUUUGAUACUGCCUUUCUUGAGUAGAGUAGGGGGAAGCGGAAUUCCGAGUGUAGAGGUGAAAUUCGUAGAUAUUCGGAGGAACACCGGUGGCGAAGGCGGCUUCCUGGACUCUAACUGACACUCAUGUUCGAAAGCGUGGGGAGCAAACAGGAUUAGAUACCCUGGUAGUCCACGCCCUAAACGAUGGGCACUAGGUGUGGGAGGUAUCGACCCCUUCCGUGCCGCAGCUAACGCAUUAAGUGCCCCGCCUGGGGAGUACCGCCGCAAGGUUGAA
rnacentral:rRNA from 1 species